AAUUAAAAAAUACAACACUUCAAUGUAAAUAGACUUUUACCGUAACUAAAAAUCAUAAAUUUACUUUUAGCUUAGUUCAAUACAUUUAACACCCAUAAAAUUAAAAAAUAUUCUUCUUCUUCUUUUCUUUUUUUAAUUUAAAAUGCAGGAUUAAAAAAUUAGGAAAUUCUUUACUUGGAAAGAGACACGAGGGGAGUUUGGUGGGAUUUGAUGACUCCGGUAAGUCGGUCCACGUGUGGAAAGAGAGCGAAGAGAGGCGGGUUGGUCGGCUGUCUUCUUCGCUGUUUAGGUAGAACCGAGUCUUUGUCACACCGGUCUAUAUGCCUCACACGUGUUUUUGAAUUAUUGCGAUAAUGAUAAUGAGAAAAAAUCAUCAUGUGGGUGAUGACAUUAGUGACGUUAUGGUGAACGCUGCCAUUAUGUAGAGCUGUAUUAUCUCGUACUUAGAACCCCAUUCACAAAUGGUUAGUGUGUUUAAGAAUUAUUGCAGCACAAUUCUUCCCAAAUGAAUUUUGUGUCAAACUUUACAAUCUGGCAAAAUUUUAGUGUGAAAGCCAAUAAAUCUAGUAAAAUUUAUAAAUCUAGCAUUAAUCUUUUGUGAGAAGGUCUUUGGUUCGGAUUAGCAAUUGGAGCAUUUCGAUCGGAAUUGGUCAAUUUUGAUUUUGCCGUAAUUAUGAAUCGCGAUGAAUAAUUGUCCUCAAUCUUGUUCCAUAUAAUUGAACAGCAAUUUGAAUUUGACCAUGGCCUCUCCUUCGAACCAAAUUAAAAAAGGGAGAGGGUCAGCUAGAAAAAGAAUAUUAAUUGAUCAAUGAUUCAACUAAUUACCACGUCUGUAUUGUAAAUAAACAGUUACAAAUAAUCCAACCAAAAUAAUAGGAAUUAAACCUAAGACGGUUCUGAAUAAAAAGCCUUCAAUCAUUUGAAAGGUAAUAUCUAUACCCAAAUAUUAAUCCGCCUUGCCUAGAAAUCUCAAUAAUUAAUAAAAUCUGCCCCGAUUCUUAACCGAUUAAAAUCUCAAAUUCUAAUCAAGAUCCCUAAUGUCUGGGAUGAUGUGAAUAUGUUGGCAUAUACUGUAAAUUCUAUUAUAAACGAUAUACUAAUGUGACUAACAUAUCAGAUCUCUCUACUCGAUCAAAUCGAGAUUGAUGAAACUUCAUCAAAUUAACUUGUCAUAAGAUUUUGGAAACUCAGAUUUGAGCUUCACUUUAGAACAUUAGGAAUCCAAAUCAAAAUUUUAAAAUAUUUUGAAUCCCUUCGCAAAUAGUGGAUCAAGACGAAGUUAGGCCUCGAAUCUCUAUCUGAAUAGUAGUUCAAAACAUAAAGUUUAUAUCUAAUCUCAUACUGUUCGAGGUAGGAUCUUAAAUCUAGAUCGAGAUUUGUAGAAUUUUGUCAACCCGAUCUUUGGUACUUGUGGGGCAUUAGUUCUUUAUCAAUUCAAUAUAUAUUUACUACGUGGGUU
rnacentral:lncRNA from 1 species